GAGCGGAAGCGCCUUGUUCCUGAUGGCGAUUUCUGCAUUGAAGGUUGGCGAGAUCGAGCUGAUGGCAGUUCUCCGUGCCACUCAAAUGCCCCUUUUUGAUGAUGGCCUCGAACAAGCUGCUACAUU